UGUGCUCAAGUAGACUAUCUGCUGAUUCCCCAACAAAGGGUAAAUGAAAUCUUCCCCGUUUGUUAAAAUAAGCACUCAUGUAAUUACUACCACCAAUAGAUGACAUCAUGUGGAACACUAUCUCGAACUUAUCAACAUUUACAAACCAAAAACCAAGCAACACUUGACCUACAGUUGCAAUCAUAAUUUUGUUCCUUGGUGGCCUUUACCUGUAAUGUGUGCAGAAGGUUACAGGUUGCUUCUGGGAAAUCAGGGCGAAGAACCAGCGCUUGCUUGUAGCUUUUUAUUGCAGCUUCAACAUGCCCACU
rnacentral:lncRNA from 1 species